rnacentral:lncRNA from 1 species
ACGGGAGUUUUAACUGCCACUUCCUCUGCAACCAUAGCUUUUACAGAGUGAAGCCACCACACAAACAAAAGACUGACUGCAAAACAUUGGCGUCAGGUUUUCACACAAGCGUGAUGUCAGCAGGGCAGUGGCAGGAGGCUCCUUGAGGCUUGGAACUAGUAUUUGAAAGAGACUUAGGUCACUGGAAAGCAAGCACCCUGCAGAUCUGGACUGGCACUUUGGAGGGGAAGCACUGCUGAAUAGGUGAUGAACAAGUGACAGAAAAUCAGCCCCUGGUUGAACUCAGCGAAGCUGC